rnacentral:lncRNA from 1 species
GUCUCUAUCCUCACUUAUCAGAAAAUAAGUUGAAAGCACUUCGGAGAGAGAGAGAGAGAGAAUUAAGAUAUAUAGACAAGAAAAAUAUUAGACGUUGAUCUUACAAACUAAUACUUCAAGCAGUAUCCUAGAAAGCUAAAAACUGCAAGAUGGCUUGAAAUUUGAAAAGAGCACGUGCUUUUCCUCCUUAACUUGAGAAAAUGUUUAAUAUAGUGCACCUACAGAAGCAUUUAAGCAAUUAGAACUUUGCACAAAAACAUCAAGAAGACUAAACAAAUCAGAUGCAGUGUAUUUGUCCAAGCACAAAUUGCAUUUUGUCCUCAACUUUAAUAUUUAUUGAUGAGAAUCAAUACAGGUCCCUCAUUUGAUAUAGAAAGCUUUCUUUCUUGUAGUCUCACCAGUUAAUUCACAGGUCUAUAAUCAUCUUGCAAAGUUAAGGGCAUUUCUUUCGAUCUAAAGUCUUUGCAUCACCACCUCAUCACACGCCAAGCCAAUAUUCCAUUUACCUCUACAACAAAAAGUUUUAAGUAAACAAUCCUAAUGCACGCAGCCAAAUAAAAUGCAGUAAGAAUAUUCAACUUAAAAAUCUGAAAGCCGACUUGGUGAAUUGCCUCCUUAGGUGAAGUUCCAUGCUUUACUAUAGUUGACAGAACUCAGCAAAAGCUUCCAUACAACAGAUUUUGAAAAUGAUGAUGCCAAUAGAUACUCAUUCAAUCCAUUGAAAAUCCAAAGGUUCAUUGUUAAUAGAAGUUUACAGAGUUUUGGUCAUCAAAUAGCUCAGAC